rnacentral:rRNA from 1 species
GACGAACGCUGGCGGCGUGCCUAAUACAUGCAAGUCGAACGAGUGGCUGACGGGUGAGCAACACGUGGGAACCUACCCCUCACAGGGGGAUAACACUUGGCAACAGGUGCUAAUACCGCAUAUUGAUGGAUGGACCCGCGGUGCAUUAGCUAGUAGGUGGGGUAAAGGCUCACAUAGGCGACGAUCUCUAGCUGGUCUUAGAGGAUGAUCAGCCACACUGGGACUGAGAAACGGCCCAGAAUCCUACGGGAGGCAGCAGUGGGGAAUAUUGCACAAUGGGCGAAAGCCGGAUGCAGCCAUGCCGCGUGUAUGAAGAAGGCCUUAGGGUUGUAAAGUACUUUCAGCGGGGAGGCGUUACCCGCAGAAGAAGCACCGGCUAACUCCGUGCCAGCAGCCGCGGUAAUUC